GAUGAACGCUAGCGGCAGGCUUAAUACAUGCAAGUUGAGGGGCAGCAUGAUAUACGCGAGUAUAUUGAUGGCGACCGGCGGACGGGUGAGUAAUAGGUAGGAGACCUACCUCAUACAGGGGGAUAGCAUAGAGAAAUCUGUGGUAAUACCCCAUGAGGUUAUAUGAAUAGAGGCAUAUAAUCAAAGCAUAAGCGAUUAUGCGGUAUGAGAGGGGCCUACUGACCAUUAGCUAGUUGGUGAGGUAAGGGCUCACCAAGGCGAAGAUGGUUAGGGGUUUUGAGAGAGAGACCCCCCACAUUGGAACUGAGAGACGGUCCAGACUCCUACGGGAGGCAGCAGUAGGGAAUAUUGGGCAAGUGGGCGAAAGCCUGACCCAGCCAUGCCGCGUGAAGGAAGACGGCCUUAUGGGUUAGUAAACUUCUUUACUACGCGAAUAGAGGUUAGUACGAGAUACUAAUAGGAAGGUAGUGUAAGUAAAAGCACCGGCUAACUCCGUG
rnacentral:rRNA from 1 species